UACGUAGGGGGCAAGCGUUGUCCGGAUUUAUUGGGCGUAAAGCGCUCGCAGGUGGUCCGAUACGUCGUGCGUGAAAGCCCCCGGCUCAACUGGGGAGUGUCGUGCGAUACGGUCGGACUGGAGGCCAGUAGGGGGAUGCGGAAUUCCGGGUGUAGUGGUGGAAUGCGUAGAGAUCCGGAGGAACACCAGCGGCGAAGGCGGCAUUCUGGACUGGUCCUGACACUCAUGAGCGAAAGCGUGGGGAGCGAGCCGG
rnacentral:rRNA from 1 species